AUUGAACGCUGGCGGCAUGCCUUACACAUGCAAGUCGAACGGUAACAGGUCUUCGGAUGCUGACGAGUGGCGAACGGGUGAGUAAUACAUCGGAACGUGCCUAGUAGUGGGGGAUAACUACUCGAAAGAGUGGCUAAUACCGCAUGAGAUCUACGGAUGAAAGCAGGGGAUCGCAAGACCUUGUGCUACUAGAGCGGCCGAUGGCAGAUUAGGUAGUUGGUGGGAUAAAAGCUUACCAAGCCGACGAUCUGUAGCUGGUCUGAGAGGACGAUCAGCCACACUGGGACUGAGACACGGCCCAGACUCCUACGGGAGGCAGCAGUGGGGAAUUUUGGACAAUGGGCGCAAGCCUGAUCCAGCAAUGUCGCGUGCAGGAUGAAUGCCUUCGGGUUGUAAACUGCUUUUGUACGGAACGAAAAGCCUUGGGUUAAUACCCUGGGGUCAUGACGGUACCGUAAGAAUAAGCACCGGCUAACUACGUGCCAGCCGCCGCGGUAAAAC
rnacentral:rRNA from 1 species